UCCCAGGUGGCUUAGUGGUAAAGAAUUCCCCUGCCAGUGUAGGAGACCCAGGUUCAAUCCCUGAUCUGGGAA
rnacentral:tRNA from 1 species